UAGUACAACAUAUUCCUUGUGAGGAAGGUAACAAUCUCGGCAGGGGACGAGAACAACUGGUCAUCACAAAUACUCCGAGCAUUGUCGGCAGGGGAGUAGAUUGGAUAGAUCAAAGCUCUUGGUUGCACAGCCCCGUCGAUAAACAAAGAAUAGAUGCCCAGUCGCAAGAUGCAAACAUCACUGCGGUCUGCUCUAGAUCCAGCAACGACUGACCCGGUAGUACUAUUAUUGGUGCAUGUGGUUCUUCCCUGAUGCUAUGGUUAGCUUUAUUCCUGCGUUUCAACUUUCAAGCAUAUUUGAGCAUACCAUUCCCUGGAUAUCCGACCUAGCUUUGUCAUCUCACAAACAAUAUCUUUUUCUCUUUUUUUUUUGAGAAAAAUAUUUUUUUCUGUUUUGUCCAAAAAGAGAUUAUUGUUUCCAUAUAUACACACAGCCAACAUACAUCAUGGACCCAUAUCCAUUAGUUUAGAGGAUGAUAGCCCACA
rnacentral:lncRNA from 1 species